AAACCUCCACGUUCAACAAUAACUUUGCUGCAGCAUGAGAGCAGAUUGGUUUCCACAUGCACACUUACUCUCGAUUCCGCCUGUCACAGUAGCCUACGCUCGAUGCAAGAUCUAAAAAGGCUUACUGGUGUCUGCUGGUCAAGCUGAAUAAGUUGGAUGGCAAGCCAAUUGGACAGUCCCUCUUAACCCCUGAAGAGCAAGAAGCAGAUGAAGUAGUGGCUGAGGAAGCAGCCCACCUCUCCUUUGGUUAGAGUGCGUCCAGAGAACGGGUCAUAGUAGCCUGGCAGCAGGUCGACACCCAGGAUCUUAAUGUCACUGCUGUUCAAUGCACUGCACACACCCAGAGAUAUUCUAUUAUUAUAUUUACAUAUUUCUACUGUUUCCCAAAGGGACCUCAGUGUUGACAUCAUAAACAGAAAAUAUACAUACACCACGAUGAACACCACAAUGGAUAUCUCUAGUUGCAACUUGAGUAUUAAACUUAUGACCGUAUUUUGUUUUAACAUGACCAUCAUAAUGAGAAAAUUACCUGGUUGUGCACAAUUACAGUACACUAAAAAUUGAGCUGAAUGAACUGAACGACAGAAAACAAUAAAAGUAAACAGCGGAGGAGGAAAAGAAGCAAGCUAACAGCAAAACAAAACAAAAAUAAUUGAAUGAUCAUAAGAACUGCAACCACCUUUUUUAGUUGUGGUCUAUACAUUUUAUUCAGUUCCCCAUAAAAACUAAAGAGGGCAUUUUGCAAUUACCAUCAUUCAUCUUAAAAUAUCAGGUACUGAUGUAUCAGUGCAUUUCUGUAGGGAAUUUUCUUUCCUUCUCACCAACCAUUGUCCAUUAUACAUUUUCUGUCAGCAUCUGCUAUUUUAGCAUUGAUUUUUCUCUCUUUCUCAUAGAAACACUCAAAACACACUUUCCAUCUAAGCCAGUUGAGUGCUCUCACUAUAUUGAGUCUUUCCCUGAGAGUGCACUCACUUUCCAUCCACAGCGUCCACCACCUUGACAUCAACCUCCAGCUCAUUCAGAGAGAACAGCAUCCGGUCUCUACGGUCAGAACGCCGCCGCAGAUUAAUCAGAUAUAUCUGAGGAGAGGAUGGUUAUUUAUGGACAAAUGGUUAUUUAACUGUGUACUGUGUAAACUGCAUGUUAUAACUGAAAUGUAUAAAAUUAACUCCCACCUUUGACUUCUGUAAACAAGUCUAUAUCCUGCACUUUCUUAAACUGCAGAAACAUACUUAAAGGAACGUGUUACAUACUUAACCUGAAUGAUAAAACAGCCUAAAAAAAGUUCAGUUCCUCUAUGCUCUCAUUAUUUUGUAGCCCAUUUCAUGAGUUUAGAAUUUUAAUUAAAAGCAGACAUCAAUACAGGCAAAACACCAGGAUUUUUAU